rnacentral:lncRNA from 1 species
CGCGAAUUUUUGGCAAAGUAGAUUAGGCCCAAAAAGUGAGGAGUGAUGUUAAGUCCUUGGCAAGUGUACCAGAUCGUUAUCAAGUAAUAUAAACGGGUAAGUCCGAGUAUCGUUUCCCAAAGGACUCUUAGGCCUUAACUUUCGUGUAACCUAAUCGCAUAAGACUUGAGAAAAGAAUAAAUUUGGUGGUUAUAUGCAAAGAACAAAAAUAAACAUGCAAUGCAGUUGAUUCAAUUGGUUUUGAGAAACUAUGAAUGAAUGGUGUUGUUGGGGUUUACAAUUUCAUCUUAUCCACUCUCAUAUAUCUACUCUUGUUAUUUACUUCACUUAUUUAUCUAAUUGCCAUGCACACUUUCUNAUUUACCCUUAACCCAAUCCCUUGGUGAAAAGAGCCUAUUAUUAAUUACCGGCUUGCUAUCCCUAGCCUCCCCUAGUAACCAAUAAUGCAAUGCGAUCAGAAGCAACUACAUAUAGGCAUAAUCAAGGAAUUUUCCACCAGUUCAUGAAAUUACCGUAUGGACAAACAUCUUUUAUUGAAUGAGUUAAACAAUAAAAGCAUUGAGCACAGAUGAGAACCCAACAAUUGAUAAAUAAGUAUAUGACAAGCAUAUGAAAUAAAUAAGAAUUUGAAUAUAUGAGAGUUUCAAAAGAUUACAUUUUUCCCCAACAACAAAGGGUUUAGUUCACCAUAAUCAUGGUUAAACUAGAUGAAAGUAAUGAAAGAAUGGAAGAAAUAACCCUAAACUUGGUUGAAUGGAGCCUAAGCAUCCAAGGAACCUCCUCCAAGGUGUGUGGAAUAGCUCUUGACAUUUCUCUCUGCGAAAAGAAUCCCCUUCUAAUUCGCACGGGGGCUAUAUAUAAGCCCAAAAAGAUAACAGAUAGAUUACAGAAAGAUUUACAUAAUCUAGCUAAAAAAACAGACAACCGCCCAGGCGCCUAUUUUCACUGCUCAGCGGUUUGCCUUGUGCCGCUUUGACCGCUCAGUGGUCAGUUUUGCCGCUGAGCGGUUUCCCUCUAGUCGCUCUGAGUGCUCAGUGGACUAUUCUGGCGCUCAGCGACUUGCUUGACCCUUUUUUUCAUCAUUUUUCUCCUUCUUUCAUGGAUCUAAGUCCACCUUACUUCACUUCCAUCUUUAAUUCAUCUAAAAACCCUGCAAAACAAUGCAAAACAAGCAUAAUAUCUCUAAAACCAACUUUUGACUCUCAAGAGACUCAACUAAGUGUUUUACUUGAUUUAAAGCUCAUUCUAAGCCACAAAGGGUGUGUUUUACUAUCAAAUUUAAGCAUGAAAAUAACGGUUUUUAGACCGUUAUCACAACCCCAAACUUAGAACUUUGCUUGUCCUCAAGCAAACAAGACAAAACUUGGCUUUCCACUUCUUCAUCAAAUAAUUCAAACUUUUCAAAACUCCUUUUUCUCAUGACAUGUUAUUAUACAAUUCAGAUUUCAGUGGAAUCCUACAAAGAUGCAUGCAUGCUUCCAAUCCAAAUUAGCUCACAUAAUCGCUCUUUUUGCAACAGAUGUUUCAUUCAUGAAUGAUUAAUCAACUAAACAUAAAUGUAAACAUGGAUAUAACAAUUCUCACCAAGAAAGUGUUUCACUCAAUCACUCAAGUGUUUAGGAGGUCACUCUACUCUCUACUGUUCACAUGUCACAUAAAACAAUAUUGUCAUUCAUCUAAAAUAAUCAAAAUCUUCACAUGCACAUGCCAUCACAAGGACUUUUUCCAAGGCUUGUAUUGUGGCUGGGCUAUCAAGAAAAUUGGUUUUUCUGGAAUACAAAAUCCUUGAGUUGAGAGAGUUUAAAUCAUCAUUCAAAGUUCAAGCACACUAUCUUUUUAACCAAUCUCACUCAUUCCCAACUUUUUCCCUUUUUCCUUUUACAUUGAGUUCACUUUACAUGCUUUUUCUCUUUUCUUCUUUUCUUUUAUUUCUCAUGCAUUUUUCUUUUUCUUUCUUUGAACUCAAUGCUUUUCUUUUCUUUUGCCUUUCACUUUCCCCAUUCAACCCCAAACUUGAACCUUUUCAACACAUAUAAUUAUUCUCAACCCUAACUCAAGGUAAAUCAAUUCAAACAAGAGUUUUCAUACUGUUUAAGGUCAAGGUUCCAAAAGGGUAUAUCAUUUACAAAUCUUUGGGUGAAAAUUUGCCUAAGUAAGGGCUUUCCAAGCAUGGCCUUGAUCAUAUGACAUACACAUGCAAUUCAAUCAAUUAUCAAGAUUAAGUCAAUACCAUUCAUGAUUCCCUGUAAACAGUGCACACAACAAUAAAACUCUGAAGCUCAAUACCUCACAUAAUCAUGUUUUCUCACUUCUCACAUGAAUCCUGCUUAGCAUGACAAUCAUAAUCAUGACUCACUUACUCAUCUGUUCUCAUAGCUAGUGAACCAUUAACCUGGAUAUCAACAUUCAUACAUUCUCAAUCAUCAUCCACAAUCAAUCAUCAAUAGCAAACAACUCAUCAUGCAAUAAUAUUGAACCAUUAUCCGAAUAAGUGUACAAGCCAAGCAUAAACUCAAACAUAAAUUCAACCUAUACUACUAAUUCAAAGUACAAAGAAAAAGAAAAAGAAAAAUCCCUAUCCAAUGCUGACAUCCAUCAGUAGAUGCCAUCAGCGCAGAUCCUCAUCUGAGUCAUCAUCCUCCUGUUCAUCGUCCUGUCCUCCUGAAGUCCCAGCAGCUCCGGACCCACUCCCAUGUGCCUGUCCUCGAGGCCAAGCCAUCACACUACGGAGCUCAUCCAUAGUCCACCUAUGCACUGGUGGCUGGUCAUAAAGUCCUAUGAUCAUCUCAACAAUGGCCUUCUGCCCUCUGCAAAGGGACUCCAUCCUCGCCUCCAUCAUAGACAUGUACAUGUCUCUCAUCAGGCUAUUGCGUUGGUGCAUCUGCAGCCUCACCCACCUGCUGUGUUAGAGCCCUCCUAAGACGUCUCCUAGGGACUGCUCCAGCUAGCUCGUCACCUCUACAAUACCGAUGAAAAUAGGAGGCAUCAAUAGCUUUCCUCGGCCUCUCAAAGGGUGGAACUGAAGUGUCCACUCCUGCUUACUGGCACAAAUAUGUGAUUAGGGACGGAUGUCCCGAUGGCGUCCUGUUGCUAACAGUGUUGGCGUAGCUCAAAAUCUCACUGGUAAUGAUCUUACCAAUGUUCAUGUCCAUCUGCCUCAAGAUACAGUAAAUAACCAGGAUCCUAUGUAAAGUGAUAUCAAAAACAUAAGAGCAUGGCUGGAUGUUGCCAUCCAGUAUUGUUAAGUCCCUGGCAAGUGUACCAACGUUCACGUCCAUCUGCCUCAAGAUACAAUGAAAUAACCAGGAUCCUAUGUAAAGUGAUAUCAAAAACAUAAGAGCAUGGCUGGAUGUUGCCAUCCAGUAUUGUUAAGUCCCUGGCAAGUGUACCUGAUCGUUAUCAAGUAAUAUAAACGGGUAAGUCCGAGUAUCGUUUUCCCAAAGGACUCUAAGGACUUAAUUUUCAUGUAACCUAAUCGCGUAAGACUUGAGAAAAGAAUAAAGUUUUGAUUGUUAAAUGAAAAAAUAGAAUUAAACAUGCAAAUGCAGUGAAUCAAUGGUUGAGGAAAAACUAUGGAUGAAUGGUGUUGUUGGGGUUAACAAUUUCAUCUUAUCCACUCUCAUAUAUCUACUCUUCUUAUUUACUUCACUUAUUUAUCUAAUUGUCAUGCACACUUUCUUAUUUACCCUUAACCCAAUCCCUUGGUGAAAAGAGCCUAUUAUUAAUUAUCGGCUUGUUAUCCCUAGCCUCCCC